GUUGUGAGGUUAAGUGACUAAGCGUACACGGUGGAUGCCUAGGCAGUCAGAGGCGAUGAAGGGCGUGCUAAUCUGCGAAAAGCGUCGGUAAGGUGAUAUGAACCGUUACAACCGGCGAUACCCGAAUGGGGAAACCCAGUGUGUUUCGACACACUAUCAUGUCAUGAAUACAUAGUGGCAUGAGGCGAACCGGGGGAACUGAAACAUCUAAGUACCCCGAGGAAAAGAAAUCAACCGAGAUUCCCCCAGUAGCGGCGAGCGAACGGGGAGGAGCCCAGAACCUGAAUCGGCUUGUGUGUUAGUGGAAGCGUCUGGAAAGUCGCGCAGCAAAGGGUGAUAGCCCCGUACACUAAAAUGCACAGGUCGUGAGUUCGAUGAGUAGGGCGGGACACGUGACAUCCUGUCUGAAUAUGGGGGGACCAUCCUCCAAGGCUAAAUACUCCUGACUGACCGAUAGUGAACCAGUACCGUGAGGGAAAGGCGAAAAGAACCCCGGCGAGGGGAGUGAAAUAGAACCUGAAACCGUGUACGUACAAGCAGUGGGAGCACCUUCGUGGUGUGACUGCGUACCUUUUGUAUAAUGGGUCAGCGACUUAUAUUUUGUAGCAAGGUUAACCGUAUAGGGGAGCCGUAGGGAAACCGAGUCUUAACUGGGCGAAUAGUUGCAAGGUAUAGACCCGAAACCCGGUGAUCUAGCCAUGGGCAGGUUGAAGGUUGGGUAACACUAACUGGAGGACCGAACCGACUAAUGUUGAAAAAUUAGCGGAUGACUUGUGGCUGGGGGUGAAAGGCCAAUCAAACCGGGAGAUAGCUGGUUCUCCCCGAAAGCUAUUUAGGUAGCGCCUCGUGAACUCAUCUUCGGGGGUAGAGCACUGUUUCGGCUAGGGGGCCAUCCCGGCUUACCAAACCGAUGCAAACUCCGAAUACCGAAGAAUGUUAUCACGGGAGACACACGGCGGGUGCUAACGUCCGUCGUGAAGAGGGAAACAACCCAGACCGCCAGCUAAGGUCCCAAAGUCAUGGUUAAGUGGGAAACGAUGUGGGAAGGCAUAGACAGCCAGGAUGUUGGCUUAGAAGCAGCCAUCAUUUAAAGAAAGCGUAAUAGCUCACUGGUCGAGUCGGCCUGCGCGGAAGAUGUAACGGGGCUAAACCAUGCACCGA
rnacentral:rRNA from 1 species